UCAGGACGAACGCUGGCGGCAUGCCUAAUACAUGCAAGUCGAGCGAGGACGAAGCCUUCGGGUGGAGGAAUGAGCGGCGGACGGGUGAGUAACACGUGGGCACCUGCCCUGCAGACCGGGACAACCUCGUGAAAACGAGGCUAAUACCGGAUGAUCGCAUGAUAAAAGAGGGGAUUUAUCCUCUCACUGCAGGAUGGGCCCGCGGCGCAUUAGCUUGUUGGUGAGGUAAGGGCUCACCAAGGCGACGAUGCGUAGCCGACCUGAGAGGGUGAUCGGCCACACUGGGACUGAGACACGGCCCAGACUCCUACGGGAGGCAGCAGUAGGGAAUCAUCCGCAAUGGGCGAAAGCCUGACGGUGCAAUGCCGCGUGAACGAUGAAGGUUCUCGGAUCGUAAAGUUCUGUUAUGAGGGAAGAAAAGUGCCGUUGAAUAGGCGGCACCUUGACGGUACCUCACGAGAAAGCCCCGGCUAACUACGUGCCAGCAGCCGCGGUAAUACGUAGGGGGCAAGCGUUGUCCGGAAUUAUUGGGCGUAAAGCGCGCGCAGGCGGUCUCUUAAGUCUGAUGUGAAAGCCCACGGCUCAACCGUGGAGGGCAUUGGAAACUGGGGGACUUGAGUGUAAGAGAGGAAAGU
rnacentral:rRNA from 1 species